rnacentral:rRNA from 1 species
AUUAGAUACCCUGGUAGUCCACACAGUAAACGAUGAAUACUCGCUGUUUGCUAUAUACAGUAAGCGGCCAAGCGAAAGCAUUAAGUAUUCCACCUGGGGAGUACGCCGGCAACGGUGAAACUCAAAGGAAUUGACGGGGGCCCGCACAAGCGGAGGAACAUGUGGUUUAAUUCGAUGAUACGCGAGGAACCUUACCCGGGCUUAAAUUGCAUUUGAAUAUAUUGGAAACAGUAUAGCCGUAAGGCAAAUGUGAAGGUGCUGCAUGGUUGUCGUCAGUUCGUGCCGUGAGGUGUCGGCUUAAGUGCCAUAACGAGCGCAACCCCCAUCGACAGUUGCUAACAGGUAAAGCUGAGGACUCUGUCGAGACUGCCGGCGCAAGCCGUGAGGAAGGCGGGGAUGACGUCAAAUCAGCACGGCCCUUACGUCCGGGGCGACACACGUGUUACAAUGGUCGGUACAGCGGGAAGCCAGGCGGCGACGCCGAGCGGAACCCGAAAUCCACUCUCAGUUCGGAUCGGAGUCUGCAACCCGACUCCGUGAAGCUGGAUUCGCUAGUAAUCGCGCAUCAGCCAUGGCGCGGUGAAUACGUUCCCGGGCCUUGUACACACCGCCCGUCAAGCCAUGGGAGCCGAGGGCGCUUGAAGUGCGUCGCCGCAAGGCGCGCCCUAGAGCGAAAUCGGUGACUGGGGCUAAGUCGUAACAAGGUAAC